rnacentral:lncRNA from 1 species
GCCAUUUGAGGGAAUUCCUCCUAGGUCCUGUCGUUUCUGCUAAUGUUCACCCUCUUGGGGCAUGUAACAACUGCUCAUUCAAUGUUGCCAAUGCAUUUACAAAGAGACGAAAACCUUCUAGCGAAGUCCAGAAAAAUAGUCCAGAAUCCUAUCUUCUGCACAAACACAAGGCGUAUGCAUCUCGCCACUCUGAAAUGCACAAACAUACUGUGUUCAUCAAUCAAUAACAUUAAAUAAGAAAAAAAUAGAUAAUAUAUAAUUUUAAAGUAGUACAAAAUUAUAAAAUAUUCAAAGCAGAUUUAUAAUAUUGCAGGUACCCAUAAAGUAAGCAUCCUAAUACACAUGUCCACUCAAGCUUACAAGUAUUC